UUUUUUUUUUUUUUUUUUUUUUUUUUUUUUUUUUUUUUUU
rnacentral:ribozyme from 2 species